UAAGAUAUCGAUUUGGCAUGCAAUAUUCUGGUUCCUUUUUAUGGAGAGACCACUGCUAGCGUUCAACGUCUCCGGCUGACUACCCUGACAUUAGGCGUUUCUCAUGCGCUGGCAAUUGUGUGUCCAGCCACGUCGCCCAGAAGGCUGUUGACCGUUCUGUAUCAGCUGACGAGACCAAAUCCAUCAACAUCAGCCAGUUGUCAUUACACCCGGAUUCAUCAGCACUGACAGAGCUCCUGUCGCCGACAACCACAUGUCUCCAUCCUUGACGACCAGGCACGUUGGUACGGGUGCCAGACUUGCCUGCGUUACAUGAUGAACUACACACAGCUCCAUGUAUUGUUAGCAUGUGACAGCAUCGACUUUAAUUGAUUCCUGAUUUCUCUUACAACUGGAGACAACGGGAACAUGCAGGUCGAUCCUACGUACGCGUGUGUGUAAUCAAUGUUGGUACACCGAUAACAACGACAGUGUGUAAAGUAUACAUUUGGCGACAACACUGUGUCAGCGACAGAGGUAGCAGUGGGUACUCAUAUAUAUUUCAAUGCCAAAGACAAUUUAUUUGAAAGCCUUCACCAGCCGUGAAUCAGCUAGCAAAGCAUUGGCGCGUGAGAUUAAAAGAGAGCCAUUCUGAACGAUGUGUCUCCAAGUGUCAGAAUCGACCAUAUUCACUAGGAUCUGUACGUCCAUGAUAUAUGCGUAGUCUUUAUUUGCAGUGCAAUACUUUGACAUGUCGAGAUACGUGUUUAGAGUUUAAAACGAGUCUACGGGAUUACUGUGUGCACGUACAUGUUUUGCUAAGACAAUAACAUAAUAACUUAACAAACCAGGAGUUGUGUGCCCUUGGUGGUUAUAGUGACAUCGUACCAAGAGUUGUGUACCCUUGGUGGUUAAAGUGACAUCGUACCAAGAGUUGUGUGCCCUUGGUGGUUAUAGUUACAUCAUACCAAAAGUUGUGUACCCUUGGUGGUUAAAGUGACAUCGUACCAAGAGUUGUGUCCCCUUGGUGGUUAUAGUUACAUCAUAUCAAGAGUUGUGUGCCCUUGGUGGUUAUAGUUACAUCGUACCAAGAGUUGUGUCCCCUUGGUGGUUAAAGUGACAUCGUACCAAGAGUUGUGUACCCUUGGUGGUUAUAGUGACGUCAUGCCAAGAGUUAUGUGCCCUUGAUGGUUAAAGUGACAUCGUACCAAGAGUUGUGUGCCUUUGGUAUUUUAGAGUGACUUCAAACCAGGUGUUGUAUGCCCUUGGUAUUCAGAGUGAAAUUUAACCCUUGUUGUUUAAAGGGCAUCACAUUGUGGAUUCGUAAACGUUUUGUGUUUAGAUAGACAACCAGAGACUAGCUGAAAAUGUAAACCUUAUUAUUAUCAGUAAUACAUAACAUAGGAGACAUCAAAUUCGAUAUUCGCAAGACAUGGUUCUCAAUCAAUCUGGAAUAUAAAGAUGGCGACAAUGUUGGCGUACUGCAGCACUAUCGUGAUACAGGGAAUUUACCUACUGUGUCUUAUACAGACAAUAUCUGCUGAGAUUGACUGUUAUAAAUGCGAUUCUAAGAACAAUACUAAUCCUCACUGUGGAGACCCAUUCCAUCCUUACUACGGCAAGCUUGAGAAAAACUGUCGUCAGUCACGUGAUGGGAGGAGUGGAUUCUUCCCGGCGAGCUACUGCACCAAGAUAAGCGGCGUCAGUAUGACGGAUAACACAGUGACAGUGAUUCGAUCAUGCGCACUCGAAAGUUUGGAGAACAUGUGUGGUAUUUUUGACCUUGAGGGUGUCCGCUAUACUGGGUGUGUGCUGACCUGUGAUAGUGACGCUUGUAACGGAGCCCAAGGCUGGGGACGUCACUUCCUGGAAACUGGAAUCCUGGUGAUGCUGAGCAUCUUCUACAUCUUAUGAUAAUAAACCAAUAUAUAAGAACGGACAAAAUUACAUCAUUUUGAUGUUUCUGCAAGACGAGGUAUCCAUGUUACAAUGCUAAGCAGCCUAACAACAGUAGCCUAUGAGCAGUGGUCACAAAAUCAAUGUUCAUCAGAUAGGUGUUAUAAAAACACCAUCGUAUCAGCAUACGAGGAAACUUCAAAGGUUCUUUGCCAAGACUCUGACGCCAGUGAGCUAUGAUCAUUUCAUUUUCCGAAAUUUUGGCCCCCAGACCACUCGCCAAAAAAAAAAAAAAUCGUCUCGCGCCUAUGGCGCUCGCAUUACAACUAAAUUACUGGAACCCCCCACUUUCAAAUUCCUGGAUCCGCGCCUGGAGCUAAAACAUCGAGAUACAAUGUGAGAUUUUAGACUCCGACGUCAAGUAAGCUCACACAUCGAGGUACAAUGUGAGGAAACGUUCCUCACGAACAUAAGACAUAGCAUUUUUGUUUAUUUUUAUCAAAACUUGAUAUAUCUGCGAACAUUGCACAUGAAUGUGAUAUAGGUGUAGACCCAGGUAAAGAUAAUCUUACAGUACGGUUACAGACAUCGCUGCCUGCAAUGUUAAACAACGAGGUGCAAGGGUAUUACUCAACGAUUUUAGACAGUUCUUGUCCACUCCUGUUAUUACUCUGUACUGACUACAGUGUGUAGAUGAAGAAGGUAUUGUGGACAUGUGACAUGUGGACAUUGAUGGGCUUAGUUUUCCGCAGUUUUUUUCCAUUCCUACUCUCUGCUUGGCUUCGCUUCGAGAAUGCAGCGAACGCAGCCUAGCGGAAAAAAUACUGAAGUAAAACUGGAGAGUAACAAAAGCACCUUUCUGGCACAGAUUAGUUUUUAGCGGGAAUUUCACUUUAACUUGUUCGUUGGAUGCUUGCUAUGAGAGAGAGAUGUCGCUAGUUCGAGCCCCACCGCGGUCAGGUACUAAGGCAGGUGACCAUCCAAUGAAAGUUAUAGUCUUCCUUGGAGCAAAAGAACCUUCAAGGGUUAAUGUAUGUGGAUGUCUUCGGGGGCGAAGACGUUGUGAAGGAGGCAGUAGUGUAAAAAUAGAGAGUAAUAAGGUCACCUCACUGCUUAGGAUAGCCCCACCGCGGGCAGGGUAUUACUACUUCCUUGUACACUAAUGUAUGUAAUCUAGUCUACUUCUGCUGCAGGAAGUGUGGUCACAUAUUGACUUUUGUAUAUUAAUGGUUUUGUUGUCAUCUGGUGUUGUUGGUAGAUGAAAUUCCAUCAAUGUUUCCUCUUAUAAAGUAGCGAUGUAGUCAGUUUAGGUUGGAUCCAAAGGGAAAUAUAUAUGAUAAUGAUAUGAUAUGCACCAUUUUUACUUUGUCACAAGCCCCGUUGAAGUCUUCAAACAUGCACUUUUCAUUUUAAUUUUAACUCACAAUACGUCACUCAGAGACUCACUAACUAUAAUAAUGUGCAUUUAUUUGUAGACCGAGACAAGGAAUAAAGGACAUGUCAAACAUGCAGAUCUAAUUUAACUGGUUACGUCAAAGUCCUUGUGUUCUUUGUGGGCCGCGACAGCUCAGUGGGAUGGAGCGCCUGCCAUCUCGGGUGAAGGUUUGUUUCUUUGGAAGCUGGGAAUCGGACCGGUCUGUGUUUUCUGAUUGUGUCCUUGGGCAAUUGCAAGAUCAUGCGACGGGCCUCCCGUAUGUUGUUCAGAGAGUAGUCACCAAGUACUACAAGGAGACCCCGCCUCAAAAUGACCCUAACUGUUCAAGGGGCGAUAAACCCAACAAAAAAAAGAAAAAAAGAGUCUUUUACUUCGUCUAGCUACAAUAUGUUUUUGGAGUCUAAAUGUAUAUGAGUAUACAUCUAUCUAUAAACAUUAUGUAUAUAUGUACUUGGUUACAGGUACAUGUGAUACAUGUGGACCCAGGUAGAAUUGGAGCCUGAUAGGACUCCAGGUAAACUUGGAGUCUAGCCACGCCCUUUAUAUCUGUUUCUGGCUCCAUUACCGUUUAGCCACGCCCUUUAUGUCUGUUUCUGGAUCCAUUACUGUCUAGCCACGCUCUUUAUGUCUGUUUCUGGCUCCAUUACUAUAUGACCACGCCCUUUAUAUCUGUUUCUGGUUCCAUUACCGUUUAGCCACGCCCUUUAUGUCUGUUUCUGGCUCCAUUACCGUCUAGCCACGCCCUUUAUGUCUGUUUCUGGCUCCAUUACUAUAUGACCACGCCCUUUAUAUCUGUUUCUGGUUCCAUUACCGUUUAGCCACGCCCUUUAUGUCUGUUUCUGGCUCCAUUACCGUCUAACCAUUCCCUUUAUGUCUGUUUCUGGCUCCAUUACCGUCUAGCCACGCCCUUUAUGUCUGUUUCUGGCUCCAUUACCGUCUAGCCACGCCCUUUAUGUCUGUUUCUGGCUCCAUUACCGUCUAGCCACGCCCUUUAUGUCUGUUUCUGGAUCCAUCACCGUUUAGCCACGCCCUUUAUGUUUGUUUCUGGCUCCAUUACCGUUUAGCCACGCCCUUUAUGUCUGUUUCUGGCUCCAUUACUGUCUGAUCGCCCUUUUAUGUCUGUUUCUAGUUCCAUUACUGUCUCCCUUUAUGUCUGUUUCUGGCUCCAUUACUGUCUGACCACGCCCUUUACGUCUUUUUCUGGCUCCAUUACUGUCUGACCACGGCCUUUAUGUAGGAUUAUGUCUGUUUCUGAUCCCCUUUUCAUCUGGCAAAGCCCUUUAUCACCGUUUCUCAAUCUCAUUAGAAUUAGACUUGUAAUUUCUGCUUCUCUGUGAUACAUUGCAAUAUAAUACUUUAUUGCAGUGUAUCGCAGAGGAGAGGACAUUACAUGUCUAAUUUUAAUAAGAUUGCAUCGUCUUUUUUAUCCUAUUGCUGUGUAUAGUCACGCAUUUUGUCUCCAUUCCUGAAUCCAUUGUUGUCUCAAGUCACGCCCUUCAUCUCCGUUUCUAACACCGUGACAGUCUCGCCUCGCAUUAUAUCUCUGUUUAUGACCCCAUUGCUAUCGCUAGCAACUCCCUGUAUCUCUUUUUCUGAACCUAUUACCAUACGGCCAAGCCCCUAAUCUCCGUUUCUGACACCGUGACAGUCUCGCCACGCAUUUUAUCUCCGAUUAUGACCCCAUUGCUCUCCAUAGCAACGCAUUUUAUCUCUGUUUUGGACCCUAUUACCAUAUGGUUACUAGUUAUACUACAUGUCUAGCCUGUUGGAGGAGUUUGACAGUCCCUGGUUACUAGUUAUAGUUAAUGUCAGGUUUGUUGGAGGAGUUUGACAGUCCCUGGUUACUAGUUAUAGUUAAUAUCUGGUCUGUUGGAGGAGUUUGACAGUCCCUGGUUACUAGUUAUAGUUAAUGUAUAGUAUGUUGGAGGAGUUUGACAGUCCCUGGUUACUAGUUAUAGUUAAUGCCUGGUCUGUUGGAGGAGUUUGACAGUCCCUGGUUACUAGUUAUAGUUAAUGCCUGGUCUGUUGGAGGAGUUUGACAGUCCCUGGUUACUAGUUAUAGUUAAUGCCUGGUCUGUUGGAGGAGUUUGACAGUCCCUGGUUACUAGUUAUAGUUAAUGCCUGGUCUGUUGGAGGAGUUUGACGGUCCCUGGUUACUAGUUAUAGUUAAUGCCUGGUCUGUUUGAGGAGUUUGACAGUCCCUGGUUACUAGUUAUAGUUAAUGCCUGGUCUGUUGGAGGAGUUUGACAGUCCCUGGUUACUAGUUAUAGUUAAUGCCUGGUCUGUUGGAGGAGUUUGACAGUCCCUGGUUACUAGUUAUAGUUAAUAUCUGGUCUGUUGGAGGAGUUUGACAGUCCCUGGUUACUAGUUAUAGUUAAUGCCUGGUCUGUUUGAGGAGUUUGACAGUCCCUGGUUACUAGUUAUAGUUAAUGCCUGGUCUGUUGGGGGAGUUUGACAGUCCCUGGUUACUAGUUAUAGUUAAUGCCUGGUCUGUUGGAGGAGUUUGACAGUCCCUGGUUACUAGUUAUAGUUAAUGCCUGGUCUGUUUGAGGCGUUUGACAGUCCCUGGUUACUAGUUAUAGUUAAUGCCUGGUCUGUUGGAGGAGUUUGACAGUCCCUGGUUACUAGUUAUAGUUAAUGCCUGGUCUGUUGGAGGAGUUUGACAGUCCCUGGUUACUAGUUAUAGUUAAUGUAUAGUCUGUUGGAGGAGUUUUGACAGUCCCUGGUUACUAGUUAUAGUUAAUGCCUGGUCUGUUGGAGGAGUUUUGACAGUCCCCGGUUACUAGUUACUAGUGUAUAGUAUGUUGGAGGAGUUUUGACAGUCCCUGGUUACUAGUUACUAGUUAAUGUAUAGUAUGUUGGAGUAGUUUGACAGUCCCCGGUUACUAGUUACUAGUUAAUGUAUAGUAUGUUGGAGGAGUUUUGACAGUCCCUGGUUACUAGUUAUAGUUAAUGUAUAGUAUGUUGGAGGAGUUUGACAGUCCUUGGUUACUAGUUACUAGUUAAUGUAUAGUAUGUUGGAGGAGUUUUGACAGUCCCUGGUUACUAGUUACUAGUUAAUGUAUAGUAUGUUGGAGUAGUUUGACAGUCCCCGGUUACUAGUUACUAGUUAAUGUAUAGUAUGUUGGAGGAGUUUUGACAGUCCCUGGUUACUAGUUAUAGUUAAUGUAUAGUAUGUUGGAGGAGUUUGACAGUCCCUGGUUACUAGUUAUAGUUAAUGUAUAGUAUGUUGGAGGAGUUUGACAGUCCCUGGUUACUAGUUAUAGUUAAUGUAUAGUAUGUUGGAGGAGUUUUGACAGUCCCUGGUUACUAGUUAUAGUUAAUGUAUAGUAUGUUGGAGGAGUUUGACAGUCCCUGUUUACUAGUUAUAGUUAAUGUCUGUCUGUUGAACAUCCCGACCUCUUGCAUGAACGUUUUUGAUAUUCCAACGAAACAUAAUUAUUAUUAUGGUGACACGAGUUGGCUAGAGCGGUUCGUUUAAAACUCCGCUGUAGUUUUUUGGCGAACUUAAUGUGUAAUAUUAUACUGAUUUUGAACAUAUCGAUAUGUUAUUCCAUGUACUUCUAAUCAAAACCUGAUUAUCUCUCCUGAUGGGGAACACUGAGUUUAUCAGAUAGGACGUCUCCAUGGCGCACAUACUGUUAUUUGUGAUACAUUAUUGCUAUCUUAUUUUCCUAGAUUAUUUACGAUAUCAUUAUAAUAUCUACUUUAGAUGUAAUUAAAAAAUACAGAUCUUCACAAUGCACACUG